GACGAACGCUGGCGGCGUGCUUAACACAUGCAAGUCGAACGGAAAGGCCCUGCUUUUGUGGGGUGCUCGAGUGGCGAACGGGUGAGUAACACGUGAGUAACCUGCCCUUGACUUUGGGAUAACUUCAGGAAACUGGGGCUAAUACCGGAUAGGAGCUCCUGCUGCAUGGUGGGGGUUGGAAAGUUUCGGCGGUUGGGGAUGGACUCGCGGCUUAUCAGCUUGUUGGUGGGGUAGUGGCUUACCAAGGCUUUGACGGGUAGCCGGCCUGAGAGGGUGACCGGCCACAUUGGGACUGAGAUACGGCCCAGACUCCUACGGGCGUCAGCAGUGGGGCAUAUUGCCCAAUGGCCGGAAGCCUGAUGCAGCAACGCCGCGUGCGGGAUGACGGCCUUCGGGUUGUAAACCGCUUUCGACUGUGACGAAGCGUGAGUGACGGUGAUGGGUAAAGAAGCACCGGCUAACUACGUG
rnacentral:rRNA from 1 species